rnacentral:lncRNA from 1 species
AUCCUCAAGACUAAACCAAAGGAUAAAUACCAAAGGGUACCACUCCCCAUUGUCAGUCUUCGACCGACAAGGCAGGCCCAGAGCAGUUGUGAUUCGAGCCAUCGCUUAGGUCCAACGCGAAGGGGCAUUUUUUAUCAAUUUUUUCAUACUAAAUUUAUUAUUAUUUAUAACUAAACCAAAUUUAAAUAAAAAUAAUAGUAAUAAAUGUAAAGCUUUUACUCCUGUUUAUGAAUUUUAUCAACAAAUUUAUUGAUUAAGAAUAUAAUCAAAUUAUUAUUAUUUUUAAAGCCUAUAAACCUUAUAUUAAUUGAGAAUUUUAAAAAGAGUUUUUUUUAAAUGCUUAAAAUGCA